AAUAUAAACAUAUGAAUAUGAAAAAUAUGAAAAACAUUCAUAUUUGAAAAUAUGAAUAUGCCCAUUUGCUUACAUAAAUGUUAUUUAUAAAAAGAUCUGGAGGGUCACAGUAAAAUGUUAAUUUUAUUGGUGGUCCUCUUGGUUAAGGUAGACUGAAGGAUGACUUCUGUUUUCUAAUGUACAGGGUUCCUAUUGUUUGAAGGUUCUUUAAUACAAUGGUAUUAUUUUUUCCAUUAAAAUAGUGGACAAGACUGAAAUAACAACCCAUUAGAGCAUACACACACACAAGUUUGGAGUCUGACUACAGCUCUGCAGAGUUAUGCAAAGCAUACGUAAUUUUUAGGCAGAAAAUAUCUAUGGCCCUUAUUACUAUUUCCUAUACUUGAAUUUAGCCAUAGAGAAUGUUUUUUAUGCAUAUCACUCAUGUAAAAUAUCUGGGUCUUC
rnacentral:lncRNA from 1 species